CACGCUGUAGGACGCUGACAGCAAUGAGCAUCUCAGGGAGGGAUGGCAGCACUCCUUAACACCUUUGGACUCCACACUGUAGGACGCUGACAGCAAUGAGCAUCUCAGGGAGGGAUGGCAGCGCUCCUUAACACCUUUGGACUCCACACUGUAGGACGCUGACAGCAAUGAGCAUCUCAGGGAGGGAUGGCAGCGCUCCUUAACACCUUUGGACUCCACACUGUGGUGUUCACACUACACCAAGUUUCAUUUGAAUAUUCAUUGGUGGCUAUUCAAGUUUUUUAUUGAACUAUUUAUCAAAUGGACAGAGGCGGCUGAUCUUCCAGCCCAGGGAAGGUAAAGGUGAACUUCCUCUGACGUCCGGGAGUCACUGUACCACUAAUGGAGGGCCACAGAUUCUUUCACAGGCAAGAUUCAGAAAGCUGUUCCUACUGUGUUGUCUGUACAGCAGGUGGCGACAUGGAGGCACAAGUAGAUUCCAACUGAAACAUGACAUCACAGACUGGGCUAAACAAUUCCAGGGUUAGAAAGACAUGAUUAGACCACAGAAGCAGUUAGACUCUUUGACUGUAUGAUAUGGGAGCACAAUAGGGUUAUAUACUGUACUAACUUACAAGGUUGAAACAUACUGUCUAGUCAUUACAACAAAAGUUCAGUUUGAGGAAUUACAGAAUGCAGACAGAUUAAAACAAGACUGAAAAACAGAAACCAAAGAACCUUUAUUAAAUAGUAAUGUGAGGUUUCAGUUGGAUUUUCUUCAUUCCAAAAAACAACUAUACCAGGGUUUUAGUUUUAGUGUGAAUCAAGGCUCCCUGCAUAGUAGGAUGGGGGGGCAGGUGUUCCCCAAAACAGAACCAGAGAGAGGGUGAAUUAGUUUUAACUCGCCCAGUGCUCCGGGACACUUUAGGGCCAAUGGAAUGGUCCAGAUCUGGUCGUACCGUCUCAGGUAGCCCGGUCCAGAUCUGGUCGUACCGUCUCAGGUAGCCCGGUCCAGAUCUGGUCGUACCGUCUCAGGUAGCCCGGUCCAGAUCUGGUCGUACCGUCUCAGGUAGCCCGGUCCAGAUCUGGUCGUACCGUCUCAGGUAGCCCGGUCCAGAUCUGGUCGUACCGUCUCAGGUAGCCCGGUCCAGAUCUGGUCGUACCGUCUCAGGUAGCCCGGUCCAGAUCUGGUCGUACCGUCUCAGGUAGCCCGGUCCAGAUCUGGUCGUACCGUCUCAGGUAGCCCGGUCCAGAUCUGGUCUGAAUGUCAAGCUAAACCAAGUGAAACAAGGUGGGGGAAAAGGUUUGUUUGUAGAGUAAGGAGACAGUACUGUAAGUGGUUACACAUCAGCAACAUGUUGUAGUAUUAGCCAGCAAACAGCAGACAGCAGUCACUUUGGGAAGUAUAGACCUGACUCCAGAUCAGCUCAUAGAAGACUGUUCCUGUGCUCCUCCAUGCUGCAGAACAGACAUGUUGUGAAGAUCAUUCAAACCGGUUAUAUGUAUCAAUGUCUAAUAGAAAGUACCUCUGGACUCUUUUCAGAUUUGGUUGUUUUACAAAGUGGGAUUAAAAUGGAUUUAAUUGUCA